rnacentral:rRNA from 1 species
AAGCGUGCGCAGGCGGUUAUAUAAGACAGGAUGUGAAAUCCCCGGGCUCAACCUGGGAACUGCAUUUGUGACUGUAUAGCUGGAGUGCGGCAGAGGGGGAUGGAAUUCCGCGUGUAGCAGUGAAAUGCGUAGAUAUGCGGAGGAACACCGAUGGCGAAGGCAAUCCCCUGGGCCUGCACUGACGCUCAUGCACGAAAGCGUGGGGAGCAAACAGGAUUAGAUACCCCUGU